CCGACAUCUGCGGCCCACCAGCACGCAGAAGAGUCAGAUGUAUUCCAACUGUGUGGCAAUAGGUGACGACUUCAUCGCUCUUCAACCUCUCUCCAGAGCCAAGAAUCCGCUGGGCAAAAUUAGUCUUUAUCAGCGCCCCAGGUCAAGGCCCUCAGCUGUGAUGUAAACCU